CAACACGAGCUUGCGUCCAGAACCCGAAGAAGAAGUUCUUCUUCUACUGGAAGCGAGACGUGACGGAGAAAUAACAUGCAUCUAUCAAUCAUUACUAAAGAUAACCAUUUGGAGCGAAACUGGUUUGCUGUCUGGGUUUGGGUGUCCUCUCUGCCCUCAUUUUAAGACUGCGAGUGAUGGGGUGAUUGAGAGGCACUUAAGGAACCACACUGCAAAUGCAAUACAUUUCCAGGGAUUGUGGAUACAGUUGAGGGAGGAGGGGUUCUGGCCGUGUUUUCCAGGGAUCAGAUAAAGUUA